AGGUAACAGAGCACUUAACAGCAAAUUAAUGUCCACUGAGUCACAGAAGUAAAACUGGGCAUCAGAGAUGAUUAAAACAAACUAUUUUGAAAGGAUUUAGCUCUAUUAAUCAGCAAAAACAGUGGGUUUAUAAAAGACAGUCAUUUCCAAGCUCACAUCAGUCAGCAUUUAUGCCAUUACAAAAGUAUCUAAAGCGACUACAGAUGUUAAUGAACAGACCUGAAAGCACUAUUGAAGUCUGGAGCAAUGCAAAUAAAAGGUUAACAGCUUGUACCCAUGUUUACUGGAAAGAAAAUAGCCUCCACCCUGCUAAUGAUCCCUCAGGGGAGGCAGCAUUAAGAGGCAACACUUGCUGCAGCAGAGAAAAGCCACGGCUGCCGCUGCUGCAGCACACAGCGUUGGCCAAAGAGUAUCUGCAGCCUGCAGACAUCAACUAAUCUAAGUGGGUGAGAAAGGAAGCCUCCCCGCAUGGGAACUCAGCUGAUUCACAGAGGGAGGGGAACAGCUUCACAGUGAAAGCAAACCUCUGAGCUUCUCAGAACCCCAAUAACAUCUAUGCAUUCUCUGGGAGAGAAUUUGCAGAAAGGAAGGAACAAACAUAUCCAAACAGAAAGACACGUAGUUGGAAACAUUCUCUGAAUGUGGCAUUUCACAGUGAAAACACAGGGAAGAUGGUUUAAGAAGCUCUCAGCCAGCUUCCUCACUAGCAGGCAACUAUGGAUUCUUCUCACUUCAUUUUUCUGUAACUUCUUUGCCUCCCUCCUCCCUGCUGAAUGCUUAGGGCCAGCUUCUGAGCUUCUUCACUGAAGCCACUGAAAACAGAUAAGAAAGCAAAAAGGGGCCCUUCACUCUUCUUCCAUAAUUGCUUUUUCUCCCCUUCCAUUCCACGCUCCUGUCCCAGCUCAGCUACUGUCUAAUCGGCCUGCAGUGACAGCCACAAAAAUGGCAUUAACCAUCUUUCUCCUCACUUACCUUUUGCUCGCUGCCAAGUGAAAGUCUUAUAAUUCUUGCCCUGGAAAAACUCUGUCAUCUCAGAGAGAAAGCAACUUUUCCAUUACUCUCUCCCACUCCCUGAUCCUGCCUCUGCCAGUGGAGAGUGUGAAAAUGCAAUGCUCCAGGUUUGUUAACCACAGAGCACAUUAAUUUAUGACAGGGAAUACGACCUGGGAGGAAAAUGAGGAGGGAAGAAGCAGGAAACACUUGAUAUGCCCUUAAAUACUAAGAUGUUGAAUCUUGUACUUUGUUCUCAUUGAUUUGGGAGGCAAUAAAAACCAUACUGGUAUUUCCUAGGAAUACAUACAAAAAUUAUCUGAGGCAGGCAUUCCUGUCAAUAAAAAUGAUCAUACUGGUGCCAGACCAAAGAUCCAUUUAAUUCACUCAGUAGUAACCAAGAAAAGGUGCCAGAAGAAGGCAAACACAGCUGUACUUCCCAAAAUAUUCUUCCUGCCUCCAACAAGUUGUGGCUUAUGAACUCUCUGAGGCCUAAGUUCCAAUGCAUUUAGCAUCCCUAAUGGAUUUGUUUUUCAUGAACCUGUCCAGUAUCCCCUGGAGCCCAUGAAAGCUCCAGCAUCCCCAAUAUCUGUAGCAAGGAAUCCCACAAUUUAACUACAUAUGUAUAGUUAAAUGUAUGUAUGUACACAUAUAUCCCUCCCCUUCUUUCUGUACCUUUGUUCAGCAGAGCUUCCUUCAAGCUUUACCUCGUACGAAAAGCCAUCAGCUGUGUAUGAACGCAUGAAAUGAAUGCUAUUCCUAAAAACUUGUUUACAUUUUACCCACACUGUCCCACCAUUCUGCUGACACCUUCUACUGACAAGGAGCUGAAAAGCAUCAGUACAGUGUCAAUACCCUUGCAGAACAAGCCUGAAUGGAGUCUACAUCCUUAACAAACAGCACAUGGCUUUCCACGAGCUGGAAAUAGGAAGCAGAACCACAAAAAAAAAAGAAAGAAAGAAAGAAAGAAAGAAAGAAAGAAAGAAAGAAAGAAAGAAAAAGAAAGAAAGGUAAGACAGGAGGAAUGAGAAAAUGGUAGAAAAGACAAAGAAACAUGAAACAUGAAAAAGGAGAAAAAAAGAGACUGAGCAGAGAAAAGAGAAGAAGAUGACUAUCCAUGGUGAAACAGGUCAUUGUAUCGAAAAACGGAAUCUGUAAUUCCUACUUUAAGGACACAAAGAAGUCUUCCAGAGAAGUUUACACAUCUUUUGAAUUUCUGCCCAAGUAUCUCAGCAAGUAGAAAGAUGUUUUAGAUCACAGCCCGCUCUCCCCUGACUGCGUACUUGGAGAUUUUUAGAUGCCAUAUUUAUUCCAUCAGGCUCAUGAAAUAAGUUACACCCAAGAAGUGUGCUCCAGAGAUGCCCAUUUCAGACAGUUGGGUAUGAGUAGCUAGCACGGAGGUCUACGAUCUCUCUAGCUGUAGUCAAUCCACCUCCCACUUGGACUAUCUCUCAACACAGCCAGGGAAGAUGCAUAAAGCUGUCCACCCUUUUGUAUGACUCUACAGUCCUGAUGGAGCAACAGCUUGGGGCACACACUGCAGUUAGCCACCCACACACAUAGGUUAAUACACUUUUUGAUGAUUCAUAAACCCAGAUCUAACAGCAGAAUCAAGCCUUUUGUUCAUUAUUUUGGAAUGAAACACUAGCUAACAUUUUUUACAGAUGACUGUCAAAGCAAAAUCCUGGACUGAAGACUCUUGCUUAUCUAAAAUGAAUUUCAGCUACACCCUUUAAGGCAAAGCCAUGUCUAUUAAAAGAAAUAAAGAAAACCCUAGAUCAUAAUCCUGGAACAUUCAGCCAGAUGCUGUACUCUGUGCUUUCCAUUAUGUCUAGACUUUGCAGGGGUCCUCUGAACAGCAAAUGCUAUGACUGUGCUACAUAAUCCCUACUCACUGUGGACUAGUUAAGGAUGGAUUUGUAUAGCCUUAACUGCAAAUUCUUCUGCUUUUGGGUGUUCUUGCUGAGCCUUUAAUAGCAUAGCUUUGAAGUUUAAUUAUUCUCUUAACAGUUGCAACCAUUAUACUUGAGACAUAUACAAGAUGAGUAAUAAGCUUGUAAAGUAGGAGUUAACUUUAAUCAAAAAGGGAAAACAUGAGGAAAGUUUUAUUCAUCAAUAGCUUUGACAAAAUUAACUUUAGUGUCAGGCACAUCAAGUCCAAUUUUAAAAUCACAGGAGAUCUGCCCUCUUGCUCUUGCCAGCAAAUUCUAUUCAAUCACUAAUUAUGAAAGAGAGGAAGAGUUGCCAGUCAAAGAAAAAAGAUUCACAACUGCCAAUUGACUUUACUACUAAUAUAAUGGAAAAAACAUGUGCAGAACAGCCACCCAGAAGAUGACUGC